AACGAACGCUGGCGGCAUGCCUAACACAUGCAAGUCGAGCGCCCCGCAAGGGGAGCGGCGGACGGGUGAGUAACGCGUGGGAACGUACCCUUUGCUACGGAAUAGCCUCGGGAAACUGGGAGUAAUACCGGAUGUGUCCUUCGGGAGAAGGAUUUAUCGGCAAGGGAUCGGCCCGCGUUGGAUUAGGUAGUUGGUGGGGUAAUGGCCUACCAAGCCGGCGAUCCAUAGCUGGUUUGAGAGGAUGAUCAGACACACUGGGACUGAGACACGGCCCAGACUCCUACGGGAGGCAGCAGUGGGGAAUCUUAGACAAUGGGCGCAAGCCUGAUCUAGCCAUGCCGCGUGAGCGAUGAAGGCCUUAGGGUUGUAAAGCUCUUUCAGGGGGGAAGAUAAUGACUGUACCCCCAGAAGAAGCCCCGGCUAACUCCGUG
rnacentral:rRNA from 1 species